rnacentral:rRNA from 1 species
AACACAUGCAAGUCGAGGGGAAACGAUAGAGAAAGCUUGCUUUUUCUAGGCGUCGACCGGCGCACGGGUGAGUAACGCGUAUCCAACCUGCCCACCACUUGGGGAUAACCUUGCGAAAGUAAGACUAAUACCCAAUGAUAUCUCUAGAAGACAUCUGAAGGAGAUUAAAGAUUUAUCGGUGAUGGAUGGGGAUGCGUCUGAUUAGCUUGUUGGCGGGGUAACGGCCCACCAAGGCGACGAUCAGUAGGGGUUCUGAGAGGAAGGUCCCCCACAUUGGAACUGAGACACGGUCCAAACUCCUACGGGAGGCAGCAGUGAGGAAUAUUGGUCAAUGGGCGAGAGCCUGAACCAGCCAAGUAGCGUGCAGGAUGACGGCCCUAUGGGUUGUAAACUGCUUUUAUAAGGGAAUAAAGUGAGUCUCGUGAGACUUUUUGCAUGUACCUUAUGAAUAAGGACCGGCUAAUUCCGUGCCAGCAGCCGCGGUAAUACGGAAGGUCCGGGCGUUAUCCGGAUUUAUUGGGUUUAAAGGGAGCGUAGGCCGGAGAUUAAGCGUGUUGUGAAAUGUAGAUGCUCAACAUCUGCACUGCAGCGCGAACUGGUUUCCUUGAGUACGCACAAAGUGGGCGGAAUUCGUGGUGUAGCGGUGAAAUGCUUAGAUAU